rnacentral:rRNA from 1 species
UACGUAGGGAGCAAGCGUUGUUCGGAUUUCCUGGGCGUAAAGGGCGCGUAGGCGGCGCGGUAAGUCACUUGUGAAAUCUCUGAGCUUAACUCAGAACGGCCAAGUGAUACUGCAGUGCUAGAGUGCAGAAGGGGCAAUCGGAAUUCUUGGUGUAGCGGUGAAAUGCGUAGAUAUCAAGAGGAACACCGGUGGCGAAGGCGGAUCUCUGGGCCAUUACUGACGCUGAGGAGCGAAAGCGUGGGGAGCGAACAGG